rnacentral:misc_RNA from 1 species
AAAAGUAGGAACCCAGUUCUCCCUCCUUGUCCUCCUUCCAAGAAACUGGAUUAACUGUGGUCUGAUAUCCCUCAUCGUGCGCCACUAGCAGUUGAAGCUGCCAGCAUGAUCUAAACUUCCUUUUCUUUUUCUCUGCCAAAGGAAGAUCAGAUCAUGUGGUAGCCUCACCUGUUGAUGGAAUCACAACAAAGCCCCAUGUAUAUAUAAUCUCAAUGUAAGUG